rnacentral:rRNA from 1 species
UACGGGGGGGGCAAGCGUUGUUCGGAAUUACUGGGCGUAAAGCGCGCGCAGGCGGUCCUUUAAGUCUGAUGUGAAAUCCCACGGCUCAACCGUGGAAGGUCAUUGGAAACUGGGGGACUUGAGUACAGAAGAGGAAAGCGGAAUUCCAAGUGUAGCGGUGAAAUGCGUAGAGAUUUGGAGGAACACCAGUGGCGAAGGCGGCUUUCUGGUCUGUAACUGACGCUGAGGCGCGAAAGCGUGGGGAGCAAACAGG